CUUAGUCAGUUGUUGAAAGCAAUUUAUGAAGAUGGAGUGAACGUAACGGCGUACACGGCCUGGAGUCUAAUGGAUAAUUUUGAGUGGUACAAUGGAUUUACAGUGCGGUUUGGAUUAUACAACGUAGAUUUUGACAGCCCGAAUAAAACUAGAACCGCAAAGGAAUCAGUUUCUUACUACAGAAAUAUCAUCGAAA